rnacentral:rRNA from 1 species
CUUGGGGCGAGGAUCAUUACCGAGAUAGGGUCCCUUUUCGGGGACUCGACCCUCCCACCCUUUGUGUAUAUACCUCUGUUGCUUCGGCGGGUCACCGCGGCCCUCCACCCCGGUAUACGAUAGUUGUGCUGGACUCGUCGAGAGCCCCGCCCCGCCAGAAGCCCAUUCAAUUCUGACUUAAUAUCAGUGAUGUCUGAGCACACUGCGAAAUAAAAUUAAAACUUUCAACAACGGAUCUCUUGGUUCUGGCAUCGAUGAAGAACGCAGCGAAAUGCGAUAAGUAAUGUGAAUUGCAGAAUUCAGUGAAUCAUCGAAUCUUUGAACGCACAUUGCGCCCUCUGGUAUUCCGGGGGGCAUGCCUGUUCGAGCGUCAUUACACCUCUCAAGCUCUGCUUGGUAUUGGGCUUUCGUCCCCCGUGGACGGGUCUAAAAGUCAGUGGCAGUUUAGCCGGUGCUCAAGCGUAGUAACAUUAUAUCCGCUUUGGAGUCACCGGGCGGACCCGCCAGAUAACCCUAUUAUAUUUUCAAUGGUUGACCUCGGAUCAGGUAGGGAUACCCGCUCNUUU